rnacentral:rRNA from 1 species
CAGCAGCCGCGGGAAUACAGAGGGUGCGAGCGUUAAUCGGAUUUACUGGGCGUAAAGCGUGCGUAGGCGGCUAAUUGAGUCGGAUGUGAAAUCCCCGAGCUUAACUUGGGAAUUGCAUUCGAUACUGGGAAGCUAGAGUAUGGGAGAGGAUGGUAGAAUUCCAGGUGUAGCGGUGAAAUGCGUAGAGAUCUGGAGGAAUACCGAUGGCGAAGGCAGCCAUCUGGCCUAAUACUGACGCUGAGGUACGAAAGCAUGGGGAGCAAACAGGAUUAGAUACCCGCGUAGUCCCUGUCUCUUAUAC